rnacentral:rRNA from 1 species
AGUCGAACGCUUUGUGGUUCAACUGAUUUGAAGAGCUUGCUCAGAUAUGACGAUGGACAUUGCAAAGAGUGGCGAACGGGUGAGUAACACGUGGGAAACCUACCUCUUAGCAGGGGAUAACAUUUGGAAACAGAUGCUAAUACCGUAUAACAAUGACAACCGCAUGGUUGUUAUUUAAAAGAUGGUUCUGCUAUCACUAAGAGAUGGUCCCGCGGUGCAUUAGCUAGUUGGUAAGGUAAUGGCUUACCAAGGCGAUGAUGCAUAGCCGAGUUGAGAGACUGAUCGGCCACAAUGGGACUGAGACACGGCCCAUACUCCUACGGGAGGCAGCAGUAGGGAAUCUUCCACAAUGGGCGAAAGCCUGAUGGAGCAACGCCGCGUGUGUGAUGAAGGGUUUCGGCUCGUAAAACACUGUUGUAAGAGAAGAAUGACAUUGAGAGUAACUGUUCAAUGUGUGACGGUAUCUUACCAGAAAGGAACGGCUAAAUACGUGCCAGCAGCCGCGGUAAUACGUAUGUUCCAAGCGUUAUCCGGAUUUAUUGGGCGUAAAGCGAGCGCAGACGGUUAUUUAAGUCUGAAGUGAAAGCCCUCAGCUCAACUGAGGAAUUGCUUUGGAAACUGGAUGACUUGAGUGCAGUAGAGGAAAGUGGAACUCCAUGUGUAGCGGUGAAAUGCGUAGAUAUAUGGAAGAACACCAGUGGCGAAGGCGGCUUUCUGGACUGUAACUGACGUUGAGGCUCGAAAGUGUGGGUAGCAAACAGGAUUAGAUACCCUGGUAGUCCACACCGUAAACGAUGAGUGCUAGGUGUUUGAGGGUUUCCGCCCUUAAGUGCCGCAGCUAACGCAUUAAGCACUCCGCCUGGGGAGUACGACCGCAAGGUUGAAACUCAAAGGAAUUGACGGGGACCCGCACAAGCGGUGGAGCAUGUGGUUUAAUUCGAAGCAACGCGAAGAACCUUACCAGGUCUUGACAUCCCUUGACAACUCCAGAGAUGGAGCGUUCCCUUCGGGGACAAGGUGACAGGUGGUGCAUGGUUGUCGUCAGCUCGUGUCGUGAGAUGUUGGGUUAAGUCCCGCAACGAGCGCAACCCUUAUUACUAGUUGCCAGCAUUCAGUUGGGCACUCUAGUGAGACUGCCGGUGACAAACCGGAGGAAGGUGGGGAUGACGUCAAAUCAUCAUGCCCCUUAUGACCUGGGCUACACACGUGCUACAAUGGCGUAUACAACGAGUUGCCAACCCGCGAGGGUGAGCUAAUCUCUUAAAGUACGUCUCAGUUCGGAUUGUAGGCUGCAACUCGCCUACAUGAAGUCGGAAUCGCUAGUAAUCGCGGAUCAGCACGCCGCGGUGAAUACGUUCCCGGGUCUUGUACACACCGCCCGUCACACCAUGAGAGUUUGUAACACCCAAAGCCGGUGGGGUAACCUUCGGGAGCCAGCCGU